rnacentral:tRNA from 1 species
CGCGUUGAUGGCGCGCUGGGCGAGCGCCUGCGCCUCCAGGGUGUAGGUCGGGAACUGGAUCUGCGACCAGGUCUGCGCGG